rnacentral:lncRNA from 1 species
GAACCAUUGUCUAAUCCAAGGUCAUGGAGAUUCAUUCCUAUAUUUUUGCUAAAAGUUUUAUAGUUUGACUUCUGGCCACCCAUAUAAACUAAUAUGUCCACCCAGCACUCUAUGUAACCUCUACCACAGUUUACUUCUCUUCAUAGCACCUAUCAUUUCCUGACAUAUGUGUUUUUUUGCAUGUUUAUGAACUCUGUGAGAAUAGAGAAGGCAUUUCUUUUGUUCACUGCUGUAUCCUUAGUGUCGAAAACAGUGCCUGACACAUGAUAGGUACUUAAUAAUGAUUUGUAAAAUGAGUGAGUCAAUGAAUAAAUAUCCUUGUGCACAGAACUUCAUGUCUAAAAUUUUCAAUUAUUAAAAAAUAAAAUAAAAUUUUCAAUUAUUCAAGAUUCCCUAGAAAAAAUGAAUGAUGAGUGAAUUGCUGUGAUGCCAAUGAAAGUUAAAUGAUAAUGCAAUGAAGACCAAAAUCUUGAUUUUAUUGUUGGCCAUCACCCUUAACCACUGUAAUGGCUUUGUGUCAUGGCUGGAUCUCUUUUAGAUAUGAAUAAGGAUGCAGCUGAUAGGAACUGGGACACAAAUUUAUAUUGCUCUGUUAUGUUACUCUCUUGGAUUCUUCUUUCUGUAUCACCAGAUGCGUAAAGAUAAUUUCAAAGGAAUUGAAGAGAAAAAAAAUGUUAACAGUUAAACAUAAUAGGAGUUUAAUAUUUAUAUUUUUUUCCUAAAUGGUCUUCCUAAAAUGUCUGAAAGACACUUUAAAUCAUUAAUAUACUGAGAAUAGCAACCUCCAAUACUUUCCAAAGUAUUUUAUAAAGACUUCCUUCACUGUUUUGAACAUGAGUUAUUUUAAACUUCUAAGAACUUAGCACAGAAAAACAAACAAAAUUCUCAAUGCAACCAUCAUUUCACUGCUUGGUCAUAUGACAUGAAAAUGUCAUGGGUCUUACAGGCAAAGCUGGACAAGGGAGUGGGCAAUAUGAGAAUAUGCAAAACUCAUCAGACUAUCUCUAGAAUAUUUCUGAUCUCAAGUGCAGUUAACAAAUUCUCAGUCCACAGUUACACCUAAAUGACCCUUGUACUCACAUAUAUCUGAGUUUAUGAAUAGCAUGAAAGGAAUUUAAAAUAAAAUCUUAUAAGACAUGGCAAUCAUUAAAUUAAGAUGAAGCAAGUGUUAUGAAGUAUGAAAACAUGGGACUUGAAUUCUAUUUAUUCAAAGGUCUUCACUGAGUUGAGCAUGUUCUUUUAACAAAUUCAAUUACUGAUUUGAAUAUGUAUUAUAUUUUAAUUAUUGCAGCCAUGUAAAGAAGCUCUGGUUAAGGAGGAAUUUAAUAAAAAUAUCUAAUCAGCUUGAGUUAGUCAAUCAUUUAAGUUUUUUUCACAAAGAUCUAAUUUCUAGAACAGUUGUGCCUAUAUUUUUUGUAGGUACAUCCCUAUAGUCUGGUGUAUCCUGUACACAAAUUAUUUUAGAAUUAUACUAGCUUAUCUUAACUGCUUUUCUAGAGAUAUUUAUUUAUUUAUUUAUUUAUUUAUUUAUUUAUUUAUUUUUUAAAGAUCCCAUUCAUUUAUUCAUGACAGACACAGAGAGAAGCAGAGACACAGGCAGAGAGAGAAGCAGGCUCCUCACCAGCAGUCUGAUGUGGGACUCGAUCCCAGGUUCACCACCUGAGCCAAAGGCAGAUGCUCA